rnacentral:lncRNA from 1 species
GCCAGACUGGGGGCACCUCUGGGCCUGCCUGUGGGUCUGGUUCCCUCACCCCAGGGCUCUCCUGGGAAAGCAGAGGUAAGAAGGGCCUGCCCAGAGUACUUUCGGGCAGCAAUGACUUCAGUGUUUGUCCCUAAAAUAAAUGCACCACAGACAAGACAGUGUGGUCAGGGGCUGAGGACUUACUGUAAAUACCAGCCCCGGGCUUCCUAUUUCUGUUUCUCUGACUCCCCGGGGGGCAGGCGCCGGCCAGCUCCUUUCUAGCGCAUCUCUUCUUACUGCUGCAUCCAAGGAAAGGGCUCGGCCUGGACAUUCCUCAUUGGAAGGUCCCAGGAACACUUUGAGGGUUUGGAGCAGGAACCCCGCUCUCCCAGGGGGGUUAUGCUCAGGGUCUGUCUUCCCCCAAGAAAGGGGCACAAAGCCUAAGUGUGAGGAGCUGUGCUGUGUAUAUUCUGAGAGCCUCACAACAAACCCCAAACAUGGGAGAGCAAACAAUGACAUCUACGAUGCAAGCAUAUGAUAGACACUUUCUUAAAGGCUGUACCUGGUUCAUCACAUACAGUUCUCACCAGAGUCAUAGGGUGGGAAUCAAGACAAGAAUGUAAAGAUCCUUGCCUAAGGGCACCCCGUCUGUAAACUGCAAGUUCAACGCCAGCAGCCUGGCUCCAGACCUGCAUUCUUAACUCCUGCACUGUGCAGUGAAGAUAAGAACGACCUCAUCCUGCAGACGGAGGCAAGCUGUCCAAAGAGAGGUAAGAUCAUUUAUCGAAGGACAUGGGCUGGGUGAGAGGGGUGGAUUUGCAUCAAAGUUCAGUGGACUCCAAAGGUCCUCCCACUGCGCUGGGGCACCUCCUAGAGGCGGUUGAGUAGCAUGUCAUGGAGCUGUUGUUCUGACCCCUUCCCAGCUUCUGAGCAGCUGACACCCUGGGCUGCAGCUGCUGCUCAUCUCCUAGGCUGAGGACGGGAUGGAUCAGCAUUCACAUGCACCUUCUUGAAGCCUUUCAGUGUGAAUGAGUUUGCUGUUUCCAAAGGGAGAUGUCUUUGGGGGCUUGCCCUGGUCGUGGUGUUUCCUGCCUCUAUGUUCCCUGAGGCUCCAAAGGUAUAUCUUGUUCAGCGUCCUGGGACUCCAGAGAAGAUAAGCUACAUUUGUCAAGUGAUUCUUGCCAGGAAAUCUCACAGCCGUCUCAGAGGCUGGCUGAUGCACCCAGGAGAUGGAUAUAUGUCUCAUCCUAUUCGGCACCUAUGCUGUAUAAAACUGUGAAGCCCCCAGGCCCUCUCCUUCCUAAGUGGGAGUGGUUGAGAGGGUCGCAGAUAGGGCGAGAAGAGCUAGGGGCCCGAGUGGACCACAUGGAACAAAAGUUGAAUGCUGAGUCAUUUCUUUCAAGCGAAUCUGCCGAGGCCAAGUGAGAGUCAUGAUACCUUUCUGUCCACCUGAGACACUGGAUGAGACACUAGGGUUGGAUGAUAGUAGGCUGCUUUUUGCAGAUAAUAAAGGUGGUCUCUCAUUUGGGUUGCCUCUUUGCCUUGGCUGCGAAGAUGCUCAUACCGCAUAUUUAUGCUGAAUUAUAACUUUUAUCAAAAAAGUUCUUGGAGUUCCCUGGUAGCUUAGAAGUUAAGGAUUCAGUGCUGUCACUGCUGUGGCUUGGGUUUGAUCCCUGGACUGGAAAUUCUGCAUGCUGUGGGCAUGCCCCUCCCCCAAAGAAGUUCUUGCAUAGUCUCCUCUGUUUGAAAACUUUUAUUUUUUUUUCUGAACUCUUAUUAUAAAUCAACUGGGAUUCAGAUAAAAUAUCGCACAAUUCUACUUAUAUGAGGGAUCUAAAAGAGUCCAAGUCAUAAAAGCAAAGAAUAGAAUGCUGUUUCCCAAGGGCUGAAAUGGGAAAAUUGCUGAUCAGAGAGUGCAAAAUUUUAUUUACGUAAGAUGAAUGCUAUCUAGAGAUUUGCUGUACAACAUUGUACUUGUAGUUAAUUACACAGUACACUUAAAAAUCUGUUAAGAGAGUAAAGUUUAUGGUAAGUGCUCUUGCCACAAAAAGUUUUAACAAAGGAAAAAUGUGACUAGUACAUUUAUUAGUGCUGAAUACCACACAGCAUAGGUCUCUAGUCACUAUUCCUUCAUUAUUUGUUGAUUGAAUUUCUCAAAGAUUUGGUGAGCACAUCCCAUACGCUAGGCUGCCAUUCUUGGUACUGGGAGACUUUGGGGAACAUGGCUAAGGUCCCGACUCAAUCUGCAGGGUGGAAGUCAAUCGCUAAACAUGUAAAUUUCGCACUUGCAGACAUAACGCACGCAUGCGCACUCUCACUCUCAGAGGGGCCAGCUGGUGUUACGUAUCCAGGAGGGGAAAAAAAGCAGUGUAGGGAAGCUGGAGAGUGGUCGGGUGGUGGGGCAGGGAGGUGGGGGUUUUGCUGUUUUCGUUGGGGUCACAGGGAACCUCUGGGAUGAGACCACGUGUGAGCAGAGACCAGAACAUACCAAUUACGGUCAUGUGAUGAUAAUGGGUAGAGGGAGCGCCAGCAGUGCCUGUAACCUUUACAACAGCCUGGGGAGUAUUAAUGGCAGUGGCUUUUAAAAAAUUUAUUUUCUUAAUAGAGAAGGAGUCUGCGGCCAAACUAGAAUGGAGACCCAGGUCCGUGUUAUUUCCACUAGAUUGAGGCACUGCAGUGGGUUCAUGUGAAAGGUUUAUGGCUAGACUUAGCCUGGCUUUGAAUUUCUGCUCCCCCCACUUCGCAGCUGGGUGAACUCGAGCAAGCUGUAACCUCUCUGGGCCAUAGUUUCCUCAUUUGUAAAAUGGAGAUAAAAACAGUCCCUACCUCAUUGGACUGUUUUGGUGAUGAAGUGGCUGAUUCUGUGUCUGGCAUGGGGUUGGGACCCAGUGAAUGUGAGCAGUUGAUUGUUACCUACCUACCAUCCUUUAAAGGAGAUGAGAGGGAGUUCCCAUUGUGGAUCAGCAGGUUACAAACUCAACUAGUAUCAGUGAAGAUGUGGGUUAGAUCCCUGGUCUCUCUCAGUGGGUUAAGGAUCUGGUGUUAUGUAGCUCACAGAGGUGGCUCAGACCUGGCGUUGCUGUGGCUGUUGUGUAGGCAGGCUACAGCUCCAAUUCGACCCCUAACCUGGGAACUUCUGUAUGCUGCAGGUGUGGUCCUUAAAAGAGGAAAAAAAAAAAAAGAUGAGAGACAGAUCCUGAAAAGUCAGCCAAUGGACGAAAGUGAGGAGAACUUGCUGUGGGUAAUGCCCUGACCUCCAUCCCUGCCAUGGGCUCAGGAAGAUUUAUUUUGCAGCAGCCAAGGGCCUAUCUUGUGUGCUGGGACAACGAGCCUGGAGAUGGGGGCUGGACAUGCUUUUCCAUCUCCUUUGAAUCUCCAUAUGGGCAUUGAUGGCUGCCCCUGUCCCUGAGCAUUUGGAGGUGGCCUGAGGGGGACCCUGGAGUUGUCCAAUGAAGGCUGGGCAGAGGGAGGGGGAUUUGCCCAAAGAACAAUGUAGCAACUGACUUUUCCUAAAAACUGCUAGUGAAAACCUCUGUCCUGCCCUCUCCCAGCCAGCACCUUCUAUCAAGAAUCCCAAGGGAAGGAAAGGGACAGGGAAGACAGAGCCAAUCAGACCGAUGCCUAAUGGUGUUUGGCUUUGUCCUCGAAUGGCUCUGCAGGUCCCCUGUGAGCCUGUGUGUAGGAAAUGAUCUUUGCUCCAAAUAAAGACUUCAGUGGCUUCUUUUUCUGCUGAAUUUGAGGCUCAUUCUCAGACGUCAGUGCUUUACUGUGAGAACAAGCUACAACCUCCAGCAAAAAGGAAGAGACAGUGGAAGAGGCAGCCCAUGGGCCCAGUGUAGCAGCAGGUAGGGUGACUGACUCAGGUUCCCCUAGGACUUGGCUGGUUUUUGUUCUUAAAGUCCCCAGAUCUCCUUGGAAGCAGUGCUGAUCCUCUGAACGACCCUUGUGUCUUUUGAAAACCAUGCUGACAGCCCAGCCUCACUCCAAGCUCAUGCCUCCAAACCCUCAGGAGCAGGAUCCAGGGAUCUGAAUUUUUUACAAGUUGCCCUGGAGGGAGCCAGUCUGUUGUCAGGCAAGGCGAUGGGAGAGAGCAGUCCCUGGGCCCCCUGCCCAUCACUGUGAGUGUCGUGUCCUGUCCAGAAGAAGUGGUCUAAACGUAUCCCUACGAUGGGCUUUCUUAGGGGAGGAAAGGUGGAGGAGGGGUGGGAAGAAGCUCUCACUCCUGUUCGGAGACCCAGAACUGGUUGGGGGUGGAGGUGUGGGUGAGGGUGGCCUGUUGAGCCCAUGUUGCCAGAUAACAUUUAAGAUUUUCUUUUCACCCUGUAUGGGCAUCUGCAGCUUUCUACAAGGGGCUUCCUUUGAUAGAAGCUUCAAGAACUGGAAAGGCUGAUUUGGAGUUCAUUCAUUCAUGCAUUUGUUCACAUGUUCCAUGUUCAUCAGGCAUUUAUCGGACACAUGUUAUGUACCAGUGUUGUUCCCAGUUCCAGGAACCCAUGGUGACCUAGGCUGACGGGGUCCCUGGGUCCCUCCAUGGUGGAAUUUUUGAUUCCAGCAGGGUCUGUAAAGCAACAGAGAGAUCAAAAAGGGCAGCCAGCACCUGAUGUUUGAACGUUUUCCAUGGGCUCCUCUCCAGAUCCUCUCUCCACCCUUCCUCACCCUGCUCUGUGCUCUAGGAGGCUGCCUGGUCACCCGCUGGAGCGUCCUUCAACCGCUGGCUUCUGCCUGGAUAGGCGAGGGGGAGGCACAGUGAUCGGAAGAAGUGGGAGGGAAGUUGGGGAAAUUGAUGCCCUGACUUCCUCCUUGCAGAGUCUCUGAGGGCGGGGGCUGCCUCCCUCCAGCAAGACGCCCACCAGUGGUCCUCUCCUUCCUUGUGGGCCUGGGGAGGUAAAGCCUCCUCAGCAAUACCAGCCCCUGGAGGCUGCACCGGCUCUUCUGGGUCUCGAUCCUUCUCUCGCUCCUAUGAAUACCCCUUUAAUAAACUGUCUUCAGUUACUGCCUGGAGUGUACCAUCUUUUUCCUUCCAGGACCCUCACUGCAGCAGUCCUAAAGUGCAUCCACAUUCCAGAAAAUAACAACUCAAUUCUCCAGACAAGUGUGCUCAUCUUAUUUUUAAAGAGACACCCACGUCACUGCUAAAGGAACAUCUAAUUUAUGAUUGUAUCUGUGAGCUCAGUUUUAUAAAACAAUGCGUUGACCAUUAAGAAAUGGAAAUGGCUAACAGACUGGAAAAAUCAUCUUCACUGGAAUAAAAUAAGUGACAAGUCAUUGAAAAGUGAGACCUUAUUUUUACCCUCUCAGACAAACCCUGUGAUGGAGGUCUAAGUGGGUCACUUAAGGGACUGUUAUCAAAAGCCUUAGCAUUUUUAUUCUUAUGCAUCAAGCAAUUCUUUGGUUGAGCGUGUCCACUUAAGGAAACAUUCAAAAACAAAGGUUUUAUGGACAGAGAGGUUCAUCACAGUUUUAGUUAAUACUAAAAAAAUAUAGAAAAUAGAAAUAUUCUGUAAAAGAAGGUUGGUUAAAGAAAUGAUGUUAUGUCCAGGAGGGAAGUGGUUAAGUGUAUAGACUUAGACAAAACCUCCUCUGGUUACACCUUCUGUCACAGUGCUAAGUGCUUUGUGUGUCUUGAGCCAUCCAGUCCUCCCAACGGAAGCCGUGGGAGGCAGGAGCAUGGGGGAAAGUGCUCAAUGAAUGAUCAAUUAUGCCUUGUGAAAUAAGUCGGGCAGGGAAAGACAAACACCAUAUGACAUCCCUUGUAUGUGGAAUCCAAAAAAAAAAAAAAAA